AUUACAAAAAUAUAUAUUUUUUAAUUUUUUGGUCGGGUCGAGGUUCUAUAAUUUUUUUGGGCCCUCGUUCGGACCGGACCCAACCCGACCGUUGCCACCCCUAUGGGUCUGCUAGCCUUCAUUUCGACGGAAAGCAAGUUAACAUAGCUCAUAGUCUAAUAUUCAUGAAGGGACAUCCGCUGUCGGUAAUCUCCAUGUACAGUGGAUAUGAAGCGUUGGUUUUUGUAACGGACCGUGACAGCUUCUAAUUGCGCCGAAGGCUUCAUCUUUAUCGUCCGUGGAGGAGGAUGGACGAUGGAUGCUCCUUUUCUAAAGACCUUUGUUAACAUUUUACUUAAUGCAAUGAUGGCGACCAUGACUUGUUACGUUGACUCACCUAGGUGGCUCGAACAGUACAUUCUGGUGAUAAUUUCCAGGUCUCUCUUAUUGUUUAUUUUUUCUCUAAUUUUUUUUUUUUUUAUUGUUAUUGGUUUUUCCUUUAUAUUUUCCCUUAUGUUUUUCGAUAGUUUCACGAUGUAGUGUUGCAAUUGUUUGUUCUCAAAAAAUGUACUUCUCUGUUGGCUAGGGAUGAAUAUUCCAUCUCUACCCUUUCUUCUAUGUUUCUCUUCAUAUUUUUGAGUGGCAUGGUUUACUCUUGUGAGAGCACACUGUACACUUACUUCCCACAGUAAAAGAGUGUCUUAUGAAAGAAAAAUUUACAUAAAGAGUUUGAUACAUUUUGAGAAUCACCACGUAAGUAGUCUUUCAAAGAACAAGUUGAAUUUUAAGUUUAUGAAUACUUAGAUCUGCUAAAAAAUACUCGACCUUCGUUCAAACUCAGGAUGUUAUUUUUUCAAGCACCUAUAUAGUGGGUAUAGAAUUGUGUUCUUUUUUCUUUUUUUUCUUUUAUUGGGGUUUGGUUGGUUUGGUGAGGAGGUUAAGGUUACAUCCACAAAAUUUGAAGCCCCAAAAAUACUCCAAAAAUAUGAUUUUACCCAAGGGAAUGAAUGAAAAAUACUCCAAAACUAUGAUUUUACCCAAGGGAGUGAAUGACUAAUGUGGUCCAGUGGAUCAUAUAAUCUUUUGGCCAUAUUGUUUAGCCAGGGCUUAUGAAAACAUAUUUUUGUUUUUUGAAAACUUCAUUUAUAAUCUGAAGUGUGUGGUUUAUAUACGAUUGUAAUCUCACUUUCAGAAGUAAAGUCGUGGUAUUCUACACCAUCCAUUUAAUUUAAUGGUAUAUAUUUGACAUGUCUUUAAAGAUGAUUAAAAAGUAACAUAUUUUUUAAGAUAGUAUCAAAUCUAAACUAUCCAAAUAAAAUAGAUAGUACAGAAUACUACAAACUUAGUUCUACAAGUAAGGUUACAACUUUAUACAAACUUUUUUCUUAUCUUAAAUAACUGAAAAAGGAAAAAAAAUUAUGCAUCUCUCUCUAUAUAUAUGUGUGUGUGUGUGUAUGUGUGUGAGUUUUAUUUAACUUUUCUCUCUUUUAUUUUGGGUAAUUGGAUUGCAUCUAAUCUAAUGGUUGUGGUGUUGUGGAAACUUUAUUCGUUUAAAGGGAUUAAAACCUUUUUGUUUAGAGAGAGAAAGAGUGAGAAAAAGAUAGAGAGAUUGGGCUGCAAUUCGGUUUUCUCUUGAGAGCUUGGUAUGUUCUUUUUUAGAGAGAGAAAGUGAGCAAAAGGCUUGAACUCCAUUGUGGGUUUGUUGUGUACCCUGCUUUAGUAAAAGAAAGUGUUAAGGAGAACCCAUUUUUGGGUAUUCUUGGAGCCUUGUUUUUGGGGCGCAGUUUAGAGUGAGAAAGAGCUGCUGGAAAUUGAUAUUUUGAACUCGAUUUCACAUUGUAAUCUUCUCAAAUCAGUAAGUAAAGUCUCGCGCCAUUCUCCCAUGGAUGUGGGUCACAAUUUGUGACCGAAUUAAACCUUUGUGCUCUGUGGACUGAAUGUUGUUGUAUUUUUCAUUUUAUGAUCUUGCUUUGAUAUUAUGUAGUUUUCAUUGCUUGUUUAUAUUGAUAUGAAUGCAUAAUAGCUGUGAAUGUUAUAAAGCCUUGCUGAUUUUUCAGUAAUCGAUCCCAACAGCUGGUAUCAGUGCUUAGGGUUUGUUCUUCAUAAUGUUUGUGACGAAAGGGUUUUUUUUGCUAUUGUAGUUAUUUCUUGUAUUUUCCUUGAAAAUAAAAAAAGCAAUGGAAUUUGAAAGAUUAAAUCAAAGUAAUUGGCUAAUAUGGAAAAUGAUGAUAGAAGAUUAUCUUGUUGGAACAGAAUUGGAUCGGCCACUUCGAGGUAAGCAGGCCAUGCUUGUUGGAAUGGAAGAUUGGGAAUUGGAUGUUCUUGAUAAAAAAAAUGUUUAGUAGCGAUUAGACCAUGUAUUUCACCAUCAAUUUUAUUUGAUGUUUGUCAAUGUAAAACAUCUACAGAUCUUUGGCAAUCUUUAGAGCAAUCUUUUAAGCAACCCUCUAGUGCAAAUAAAAUGCAUGCGAUGAUAAAAUUAUUUCUUUUGAAAAUGAAAGAAAGUGUUAUAAUUAGGUCGUAUGUGAUUGCAUUUAAUUCAAUUUCGACACAAUUGAGGUAUUUGAAAGUGAAUUUGGAUGAAGAAGUGUUAUGUUUGCUUUUGCUGAGUUCUUUGCCUACUACUUGGGAUACCUUGAUUACCACUGUGACUAAUACAAUGGGUAACAAGUUUAAUUUAAAAGAUGUUCUAGCUUCAUUGUUAAAUGAAGAGAUUAGAAAGACAUCCACACAAAUGCUUGUCGAAUCAAAUCAAGCAUUGGCAGCAGGAAAUAGAGGAAGAACACAAUAGAGAGACCAACCCUAUGGAUUUAAUAGAGGCAAAUCUCAUAGCAAAGGCAGGUCCAAGUCAUAAAGCAAGGAUGUUAUUGCUGGUAUUGCAAGAAACAUGGUCACACAAGAAAAGAUUGUUAUGCCAAGGACAUGGACAAGGAUAGCCAUGCCGAAGCAAUUACAUUUUCAUAUGGUAAAGAUGGAGUCACUUUUAGUAUUGCAUACACAACAUUGUCUAUUGCAGAUAUUUGGAUUUUAGACUUUGGUGCUUCAUUUCAUGUUUGCCCAAAAAUGUCAUAUUUUUCAUCCUACACAGAUGUGGAUGGUGGCUUGGUUUAUCUUGAUGAUGAUCGGGCUUGCAAAAUAUUGGGCAUUGGAAAUGUUGUUAUCAAACAAUCAGAUGGAAAGAAGUACACAUUGAAAAAUGUGAGGCACGUUCCUGAGUUGAAGAAAAUCUCAUUUCAACCGGGCAGUUAAAUGACUCUGGUUUCAUAGUGACUUUUGAAAAUGGGUCAUGAAAGAAUUCAAGAGGUUGUAUGACAAUGUUAAAACAGAAAAAAGAUGAGAGUCUCUACACUCUUCAUGGCACAACUCAAAGGAAUGAUGCUACAGAGAAGAUCUUUGCUGCAGCUAGUAAGCAUGAGGAUACACAAAUUUGGCAUAGCCAGUUUGGGUCAUCUCAGUGAGCAUGGUAUGAAGGUAUUGUAAAUUCAAAAUCUUAUUCGUAUUUCUGAGCAUUCCUUUCUUGAUUUUUGUGUUCAUUGUGCCAUGAAUAAGCAGCGUAUAGUUAGUUUUAAAAUAAAUGAAACUCAUAGAAAAAAUAAAGCAUUAGAAUUGAUUUAUUCUGAUGUUUGUGGCCAUGUUAAUGUUAAAUCUUUUGGUGGAGAUUCUUAUUUUGUCACUUUUUUAGAUGAUUGUUCUAGAAAGUGUUGGUGGUAUCCAUUGGCAUCUAAGGAUCAAGUUUUUGAACUUUUCAAGGUUUUCAAAGCCAAGGUUGAAAAAGAAACAAAGAGAUUUAUAAAAUGCUUGCAAACUGAUAAUGAUGGUGAAUAUUGCUCGAAUGCUUUUAAUGAUUUUUGUAAAGAGAAUGACAUUCGCAGAGUAAGGACAGUUCCUGGGACACUACAAUAAAAUAGUGUCAUUGAGAGGAUGAAUAUGACCAUCAUUGAAAGAGUAAGAAACAUGUUAUCACAAUCUGGUCUUGGUAAGCAAUUUUGGGCUAAAGCUGUUAGUACAUAGGUAUAUUUGAUCAAUAGAUCUCCUAGUGCACCCUUGAAUAGUGACAUACCUGAAAUUCUCUAGAAAGGUAAAAGUGUGUCAUAUGAACACUUGAGAACAUUUAGGUGUGAAGAUUAUGUUCAAGUGCCUAGUGAAAGUAGAGCCAGGCUGGAUGCCAAGUCAAGAAGAUGUGUUUUUCUUGGGUAUGGUGGUGAUGAUAGAGGUUAUAGGAUUUGGGAUCCUAUUGCAAAGAAGACUAUUAGAAGUUGAGACAUUCUCUUUAAUAAAAAUGCAAUGUUUGCUGAAAAGAAGCAAAAAGAGUCAAAACAAGAAAGGCUUAUUGUGGAUAUACAAGAACCAAAUCUCAUUGUUUUACCACGGCAAGUGCAAGAGAGUCAAGUUCAAGCUCAAGACAAUUUUGAUGUAGGUGAUGCUAAUUAUGAGAAUGAUACUGAAUUAAUUCAAGAUGAAGAAUAGCUGCCAGUUACACCUGAGCUAGAAUUGAGAAGAUCCACACGCCCUCACAAGCCCAUACAAAGGUAUUUUCCUUCCUUAUACUUUGUAUACCGAUAGUGGUGAACCUGAGUCUUUUUAGAAGGCUGUUUAUUGCCCUAAUGUUGACAUGUGGCAUAAGGCAAUGGAAGAGGAGAUUGAUGCUUUGCAUAAGAAUGAUGCAUGGGAGUUGAUGGAACUUCCACAUGAGAAGAAAGCAUUGAAGAAUAGGCGUGUAUAUGCUAUUAAGUGGGAGGCAAAUGGUCUUAUGCGAUAUAAGGCCAGACUAAUGGUAAAAGUUAUGGGAAAAAACCAAGUGUUGAUUUUAAUAAAAUUUUUGCUCCUGUCGUUAAGCAUAGCUCUAUUAGAGUUGUUUUAUCUUUGGUUACUAACUUGAAUUUAGAGCUAGAGCAACUUGAUAUUAGAAGUGUCUUCUUGCAUAGUAAUCUUGAUGUAGAAAUUUAUGUGUCAACUUGAAGGUUUUGAUAACAAAACCCUUCCUAACUUGGUUUGCAAGUUGAAAAGGGAUUGUAUGGUUUAAAACAAGAAUCUAAGCGAUGUUAUAAGAAAUUUGACAAUUUUAUGCUGGGUGAAUGUUAUUUUAUAUGCGAUUUUGAUCAUUGUAUAUACUUCAAGGGUUCAGCAUAUGAUUCUUUUACUGUUUUGUUUAUUUAUGUUGAUGAUAUGCUUGUUGCUAGCAAUGAUCUGAGUGAAUCAAGUGUUUAAAGCUUGAUAUGUCCAAGCAUUUUACCACCAAGGAUCUUCGACCAUCCAAGAAGAUUUUGGGCAUGCACAUCUAUAGAGAUAGAAAGCAAGGUAAGCUUUGGUUAAGUCAAUCUGAAUAUAUUUCUAAAGUUCUUGAGUGCUUUAAUAUGAUUGACUGUAAACCUGUUUUUACCCCAUUAGUUGCACAUUUCAAGUUGUCUAAAAAGGACUCUCCAAUAAAUGAGGUAGAUAUAAGUAAGAUGAAGAAUGUUUCAUAUACUUUCGUAGUGGGUAGUUUGAUGUAUGCAAUGGUUUGUACUAGACCUGACAAUGCCCAUGCCGUGGGAGUUGUUUCCAAAUUUAUAUCUAAUCCAGGUUGGGAACAUUGGCAAGCAGUUAAGUAGAUUAUUCGGUAUUUGAAGGGGACACGAAAUGUAUGCUUGUAUUUUGGAAAUUCAUCAUUACAAGUUGUUGGUUAUGUAGAUGCAGAUUAUGCAGGAAGCCGUGAUACUAGAAGAUCUACCACUGGAUACAUUUUCAAUGUUGGUGGUGGUGCAGUCAGCUGGAUGUCAAGGUUGCAGGAUAUUGUUGUCUUGCCAUCAACUGAAGCUGAGUAUGUGGCAUUGAUUGAGGCAGCGAAGGAAGUGAUUUGGUUGAGAAGGUUACUUGGUCAGUUUGGGAUAAAACAGGAUAAAUAUGUUGUGCAUUGUGAUAACCAGAGUGCGAUUCAUCUGGUUAAGAAUGCAGCUUAUCACUCCAAGACAAAACAUACAGAGGUUAGAUAUCAUUUUAUUCGGUUGGCCCUUGAGCGUAGAGAUUUGCAAGUAGACAAGAUUCACACUGAGAAGAACAUUGCCGAUAUAUUGACAAAGGUUGUCUCAACUAAAUAGAAUAUGAUGUGUAGAAAACUUUCGGGGUUGGAGGAGACGUAACUUCGACUGGAUGGAGAGUGGCACAUUGGAAUUGGGAUAUUAGCAGUUUCAUAUGCAUUAUCAGAAACAGGGUGGAUGAGCUUACUGUUGCUAGUGCUUGUAGCCAUCAUAGCUGGCUAUACUGCCUCACUUCUCAUCCGAUGCAUGCAAGUGGAUCCGAAAAUUCAAGCCUACCCCGACAUCGCCAACAUUGCCUUUGGCCAUAAAGGAAAAAUCUUUGUGUCAAUAGCUCUAUGCCUCUCAAUGUACAUGAUUGCAGUGGAGCAACUGAUAAUAGAGGGUGACAAUUUGGAAAAUAUGUUUCCCAAUAUCAGUUUAAGACUUGGACAGUUAAAAAUAGAAGGGAGAAAAGCUAUUGUCCUCAUAUCUUCCUUGAUAAUAUUACCCACUGUUUGGCUAAGAGGUUUGGGCCCUCUAGCUUAUGUCUCAGCUUGUGGGUUUUUGGCCCCUAUGCUUAUAAUGGGUUCAGUUGUUUGGGUUGGCUUGUUUGAUGGGGUUGGAUUUCAUCCAAGAAAAAGGCUUUUUAGUAUUAAUGGUUUGCCCACAACUGCUAGUAUUUUUGCAUUUUGCUUCUCAGCACAUGGAGUUCUCCCCACCAUUAGUGCCUCAAUGAAAGACAAGAGCAAGUCCAUGAGAGUGAUAAUUGUUUGUUUUACAACUGCUGCUUUGAGCUAUGCAAUAAUGGCGGUAUCAGGUACCUAAUGUAUGGACAAGAAGUAAAGUCUCAAAUCACUUUGAAUCUUCCAAAAGGAAAGGUCAGCUCCAAGAUAGCUAUAUACACUAUCAUCACAAUUCCCAUUGUGAAAUAUGCAAUAAUUGUGACCCCAAUUGUACUUGCAGUAGAAGAGGCAGUCCCCAUUUGCAAGAGAAUAGCCUUGAGCCUUCUGUUUAGAACAAUGUUGGUGGCUAGCACUGCGAUAGUGGCUAUCACAGUUCCAUUCUUUGGGUAUUUGUUGGCCUUGGGUGGAUCAGCUCUUAGUAGUACCUUGAAUUUCGUCUUGCCAUGCCUUUUUUACUUGAAGAUCACUAAGAAUUCAAAACAUGGAAAGGUGGAGUUGGGGAUCAUAGUGGGAAUUGUUGUCAUGAGCUCCAUUGUUGCAGUUCUAGGGACAUAUACAUCUAUGAAAAGGAUCUUGCAACAUCUAUAAAUAUCUAUGCUAGGUUGUUUGAGAGGUGAUUGCGCUCGGAUUAGCUAUAAGUUUGCAAACUUCAGUAAGAUUUUAUUUUGUCUUA